AUCGAUGUUAGAUAGGUAGAAUUUUGCUACAUUCCCAGGUGAAUGAAAUAAUGAUUCACACAAUUUUAUUACUAUAAUGCCAAUAUUAUAUUAUUUGCAUGCGUGAUAAGAUAAACUACAUCAAUGGCGACGAAACAAAAUGUGAGAAGGAAAAGUGAAAAAAACAACAAAAUUUAACCGGCAAAUAGGAAACGCACGUCAUUUAUAUGUAGAUAUUGUUAGUUUUCUUUAUCAACAUAUAGCUUCAUAAAGUCUGUGAAUUAAAACGAUAAAAUCAUUGCGCUUGUAAAGUUUGUAAUAUAUGUUAAAUUUGUUUAAUACAUGCUUCAAAUCAGAGUUAAUUAAUUAAUUUAUAACACAAGUACAUUAAAGUCUGUAAUAAGUGAUUAUUAACUAGUUUUGCUUAAAAUAGCAUUUGUAAAUGACUAGUAAAUAUUAAAUAUGCAUAUUUUUAAUUACUUACAAUGACUUGUAACUGUUUUUGUAUUUGUGCAAUUAUUUUGUUAGCAAUUAGUUGUUGUUUGACAAAAUUCAAUUGUUUUAGAGAUAAUGCAAAGAAAAGGCUAACUGUAGCCUUAAGGCUUAUUUGUUUAUGUAUAUAUGUAUAUAUAUAGUUCAACUUUCAGAACUCGAAGUUCUGUAACUCGAAGUUCUCCAUAACUCGAACUCUUGAAUUGACAAUAGAAGUUAAACUUCCUUCCAUAAAUCGAACAAUUCGACCAGGACAUAAAACAAAAUUUAAAAUUUUACUAUUUACUAAAAGAGUCGCUCUAUAUCGUAUGGAGGUGCACUUCUGGAUUGCAUUAAUCAUGUAACAAAGGCAUGUUAUGCUGACAUCAAGAGCCAAACAAUAGUAAAUUGUAAAAAAAAUUACAGAAUACAUGUUUUAACGUAUGUACAUAAAACAUUAUGCGAAGUAAAUAAAUAAAACUGUGUAUAAAUCUACAUUCGACAGCUUUUUGAAACAUUGUAUGUUUUAAUGAAAUCCUCUAAAAACAUAGGUUAUGAUGGAGUGGUGGAAAACAAAAAAGUAGUGUGGAGGCUUUACAUGUUUUUAUGUAGUGACAUUAAUCAUAAGCUAAGGAGGCUUAGCAACAAACUUCUAAUUCUCAACAGUCUUUAUGGAUUAGUACUCAGCAAUGAUAACAACUUCAUAUACAAAACACUUGAAACAAUUGAAAUUUAUUUAGAUAAGGUAUUAUUAUUAUUUUUAUAUUUAUGGCCGUUCUUAUUAUGCCAGCAAAAUUGUACUUGUGUUGAUUGAGUUACAUCACUGCUAGUAAAACAAUAAUUAUUUAAUCUCUAAAAGUAAAACAGUAUCUGGUGAAAAUGUGUAACCAAAAUUGAAGUUUUUAUUAAAUAAACAAUUUCUUUAAAAUGUAACCAACUAGUUGGUCCAUAUACAAGUAAAUUUUGUUUUGUAAUAUAAAUGCAUAUAUGGAAAUGAAAUUUGUUACUUGAAAACCCAAAAUACUAACUAAUUUGAAUCCCGAAAAAAACUUACAAAUCCCUUUAAAAUGUUUCUGUUUUAAAAUGUAAAUUUUGUAAGAAAUUUUCUUUGGUGUUUGGGGGAUGGGGUCAUAUGUAGAAGUUCACGCAAGUGAGGAAAGUUUCUGAUUGCCAUUCACUUGGGAGUGGCCAGGAACGAUUCUUUUGCAUAUGACUCAAGCAGCUCACGACUUCCGGUUUUAGACCAAGUAUCCCCUGGGUAGCUAACAGACAUCCGUUUGGAGGCGAGCUAAAGUGAGAAGGCGAAGCCCGCUUGUGCGGUUGUGCGUAGGGCUUGGGACCCACCACAUAAAAACGAAUAACCAGUGAAUAAGAAACACAGGCCUCGGAUGAGAAACCCCCCUUUUGAUGACGACCACGGCAAACGUAUAAAGGACUAUGAUUUGAGGGCAUGCACCUGGAAUGUCCGGACUCUUAAUUGGGAAGGUGCCUCUGCCCAGCUGGUUGAUGUCCUCAUACAACUAAAGGCUGACAUCACCGCCGUCCAAGAAGUGCGAUGGACGGGACAAGGACGGAAGAAGGUGGGUCCUUGUGACAUCUACUACAGCGGCCAUAUAAAGGAGCGCAAAUUCGGUGUUGGAUUUGUGGUGGGAGAGAGACUACGUCGCCGAGUCCUGGCAUUCAUCCCGGUGGAUGAACGUCUUGCCACAAUCCGCAUCAAAGCGAGGUUCUUCAACAUAUCGCUGAUUUGCGCCCACGCCCCAACGGAAGAGAAGGACGAUGCGACCAAAGAUGCUUUCUAUGAGCGCCUAGAACGCAUCUAUGAGCGCUGCCCCCGCCACGAUGUCAAAAUCGUGCUUGGCGAUUUUAACGCCAGGGUGGGUAAAGAAGGUGUCUUUGGCACAACAGUCGGAAAAUUCAGCCUCCAUGACGAAACAUCGCCAAACGGCCUGAGGCUGAUCGACUUCGCUGGGGCCCGAAAUAUGGUUGUCUGUAGUACCAGAUUCCAGCAUAAAAAAAUUCAUCAAGCAACGUGGCUGUCCCCUGAUCGAAACACGCGCAAUCAAAUCGAUCACGUUGUGAUAGACGGAAGACAUGUCUCCAGUGUUUUAGACGUGCGUACGCUCCGAGGACCAAACAUUGACUCGGACCAUUAUUUAGUAGCAGCAAAGAUACGCACUCGCCUCUGUGCAGCAAAGAACGCCCGUCAACAAACACAAGGAAGGUUCGACGUCGAAAAGCUGCAAUCACAACCGACAGCCGAACGAUUUUCUACUCGACUUGCACUCCUGCUCUCGGAGAGCACUCAUCAGCAUCUCGAUAUAAGGGAGCUGUGGAACGGCAUCUCAAACUCAUUGCAUACCGCUGCAGCCGAAACAAUUGGUCUCCGGCAACGCCAAAAAACCAGUUGGUACGAUGAGAAUUGUCGUUCCGCAGUGGAGAGAAAACAGACUGCCUACCUCGCAACGUUGCGAUCGACCACAACACGUUCGGGGUGGGAUAGAUAUCGAGAACUGAAGAGGGAAGCGAGACGCAUUUGCAGACGUAAAAAGAAAGAGGCCGAAAUGCGUGAGUAUGAAAAGCUUGAAAAGCUGGCCGACAUGGGUAAUGCUCGAAAAUUUUAUGAAAAGAUGAGGCGAUUAACAGAAGGUUUCAAGACCGGAGCAUUAUCAUGUAGGGACCGAGAAGGUAAUCUGGUAACGGAUGUCCAGAGCACACUGGGAUUAUGGAGGGAACACUUCUCCGACCUGCUCAAUGGCAGUGAAAGUACAACACCAGGAGAUGGCGAACCCGAUUCCCCAAUCGAUGACGAUGGAAUAGAUGUUCCAUUACCCGACCAUGAAGAAAUUCGAAUAGCAAUUACCCGCUUGAAGAACAACAAAGCGGCGGGGGCCGAUGGAUUACCGGCCGAGCUAUUCAAAUACGGCGGCGAAGAACUGAUAAGGUGCAUGCAUCAGCUUCUUUGUAGAAUAUGGUCGGAAGAAAGCAUGCCUGACGAUUGGAAUCUUAGUGUGCUCUGCCCAAUCCAUAAGAAGGGAGACCCCACAAUCUGCGCCAACUACCGUGGUAUAAGUCUCCUCAAUAUCGCAUAUAAGGUUUUGUCGAGCGUAUUGUGUGAAAGACUAAAGCCCAUCGUCAACGAACUGAUUGGACCUUAUCAGUGUGGCUUUAGACCUGGAAAAUCUACAAUGGACCAGAUAUUCACCAUGCGCCAAAUCUUGGAGAAGACCCGAGAGAGAAGAAUCGAUACCCACCAUCUUUUUAUCGAUUUUAAAGCUGCCUUCGAUAGCACGAAAAGGAGCUGCCUUUAUGCCGCGAUGUCUGAAUUUGGUAUCCCUGCAAAACUAAUACGGCUAUGUAAGCUGACGUUGAGCAACACCAAAAGCUCCGUCAGGAUCGGGAAGGACCUCUCCGAGCCGUUCGAUACCAAACGAGGCUUCAGACAGGGUGACUCACUAUCGUGCGACUUCUUCAAUCUAUUGCUGGAAAAAAUAAUACGAGCUGCAGAACUAAAUAGAGAGGGUACAAUCUUCUACAAGAGUGUACAGCUCCUGGCGUAUGCCGAUGAUAUUGAUAUCAUCGGAAGCAACAACCGCGCCGUUUGUUCUGCGUUUUCCAGACUAGAUAAAGAAGCGAAGCGUAUGGGUCUGGUGGUGAAUGAGGACAAGACGAAAUAUCUCCUGUCAUCAAACAAACAGUCAGCGCACUCGCGUAUUGGCUCCCACGUCACUGUUGACAGUCAUAACUUUGAAGUUGUAGAUAAUUUCGUUUAUCUGGGAACCAGCAUUAACAACACCAACAAUGUCAGCCUUGAAAUCCAACGCAGAAUCACUCUUGCCAACAGGUGCUACUUUGGACUGAGUAGGCAAUUGAAAAGUAAAGUCCUCUCUCGACGAACCAAAAUCAAACUCUAUAAGUCGCUCAUUAUUCCCGUCCUGAUGUAUGGCGCUGAAGCGUGGACGAUGACAACAUCCGAUGAGACGACUCUUGGGGUUUUCGAGAGAAAGGUUUUGCGCAAGAUUUAUGGUCCUCUAAACAUUGGCAACGGCGAAUACCGCAGACGAUGGAACGAUGAGCUGUACGAUUUAUACGACGACAUUGACAUAGUUCAGCGAAUAAAAAGACAGCGGCUACGCUGGCUAGGUCAUGUUGUACGGAUGGAAGAAAACACUCCAGCUCUGAAAGUAUUCGAUGCAGUACCCGCUGGAGGAAGCCGCGGAAGAGGACGACCUCCACUCCGGUGGAAAGACCAAGUGCAAAGUGACCUGGCUUCACUUGGUGUUUCCAGUUGGCGCCAAAAAGCAAAAAGGAGGAAUGAGUGGCGCGCUCUGGUGGAUUCGGCUAUAAUCGCUUAAAGCGGUUCCUACGCCAAAUAUAUAUAUAUAUAUAUAUUAAACAUAGCCUUUGCACUAGAGCUCUUGGUAUUCCACAAAUCGAGUUAAUCGAAUUAACCGAAUAGGGCAUUCGAAUAAUAAUAUUCGGUUUGCAUUAUUUGGAUAGUCGACAGUCAUCGACUAUUGAAUUAACCGUUCAUUUUCGACUAUUCGGGUAACCGUUCGUUGUCGAAUCGUGCAAGUUCAUUAAUUUUCUUAUUAUUAUUGAAAAAAGUUAAACAUUAAAACUAACAAAAAACUUCCUUUAAAAGUACAAAAAAUAACAAUGAUUCACGGGAACCAUUAAGUAAUGGGCCUAAUCAUUGAAUCCGUUUCGAUCGAAAAAUGGUUCGAUUUGAUCGAAAAAUUUUACGUCGGAAUCAUUAAAUCCGUAUCGAAAAUAAAAUUUACGUUCACAUUGAACUCACUUACCGACUCGAAAAAAUGCAUUUCUCGGCUAAUAACAUGUCGCUAAUUACGAAAUCAUUGAAUCCGCAAAAUCGAAAAUUUUGGUCGUCAUCUAUCCCUUGGUGAAUGAGUUGAGGAAAUGUAAAAUAAAUAAACAAUUUGGAAGUUUUUACCUAAAUAAUUAAUGAUGACGGACUAAAUCAUGUUUUAAAUGGGUAUUUUAGAGACUAGAGACAAAAACGGACUAACAAAAAUAAAUUAAAGAUGUUUAAAAGCGAUAUAAAGUUGCCCACUCGAAAUAGCGAAAGAAUUUUCUCAAAGAGCCUCAGGCGAAUUAAAUAUUUUUAUGGAAGAAAUUUUACAAUAGUUUAUUGUUAGUUUUCAUUUUUUUUUGAACAAAGCAAAAAGCACAGACACUUUAUCCGUCGAUAAACUGCUUUACCACAAAGUGAGAACGUAAACUGUUUUAUCGACCUUUAGCGACGAAUGCGGCAAAUUUGAUAAAGUUUCUAUGCUUAAAAUAAAUAUUUUUGCUUUGUUCAAAAAAAAUUAAAUCUGACCUUUAACUAUUGUGAAAUUUCUUCCAAAAAAUAUUAAAUUCGCUGAGGCUCUUUGAAAAAAUUUUAUCGCUAUUUCGAGGGGGCAACUUUAUAUCACUUUUAAACAUCUUUAAUUUAUUUUUUUAGUCUGUUUUUGUCUCUUGGCUCUAACAUAUCCAUUUAAAACAUAAUUUAGACCGUCAUCAGUAAUUAUUUACAUAAAAACUUCCGAAUUGUUUAAUUAUUUUACAUUUCCGCAACUCAUUCACCAACGGAUAGAUUCCGACCAAAAUUUUCGUUUUUGCGGAUUCAAUGAUUUCGUAAUUAGCGACAUCUAUUAGCCGCGGAAUGUAUUUUCUCGAGUCGCACACAACUGAUGCGUCAACAUACAGCAAGAGUAUAAGAAAGUAAAGAUAAAAAGUAUAUGAAAAUCAGAAACAACAACACUACCACCACUAAUACAUAUGUAUAAUAUAAACUCAAGUCUACUGAAACAUUUCUUAAACAAUUUUUACUAAAACCCAUAGUAUUUUUAUUACAACUACUAGAAUUAUAGAAACUUUACACAGACGUCGAAUGACCACAGGCAUAUUACAAUAACAUUCCGCAAUACUGCAAGGCAGUGGAAAAAAUCCUACAAAUCAAUAUACGAAUAUUGAAAGUACAAAAAUUCCAUUUUUCGAACAUUUAAACAUAAUUAUAAAACAAAUAAAUUAAAAAAAUAU